CUGAGGAGGUCGGGGCGAGGCUCUACGUCGCCGAUUUCUUCGCGCGCGCCUUCGCCCUCGCGGGUGAUGUCGAGGCUUUUGCAAAUGCUCUUGUUCACAAUCAUUCCAGCACCGUGGACUCCACUAAUCCAAUUCUGAAGAAGAGCAAGAUCAAUGAUAUAAGAGGACUCCAAAACUUGGCCAAGUCAUUAUCUGGACAGCGUUCUGUUCAGGCACAAUCUGCUCAAUACACAAAUUUCCACCGCGAGCCUUUAUACACCGCUCGGCGAAGGGUGAGGCCUAUGGGCCGGCCUAUUUAGUACGGAAUUUUUUUUCCUUCUUUUCUGUUUUCUUUUCUUUGUAUUUUUUUUUUGUUUUUCUUCAAUACUUUAAUCGAUAAUCGAUACCAUAUAUAUAUUUAAAGCAUAAGGGUAGAGACAUAUGAGCUGUCUCCAGCAAUUGAAGGUAAAACUCCUACUUAUGCUAGGAUGUGUAUAAGCUUACAUUAUACAAUGAUGU